rnacentral:misc_RNA from 1 species
GAUGAAGAACGCAGCGAAAUGCGAUAAGUAGUGUGAAUUGCAGAAUUCAGUGAAUCAUCGAAUCUUUGAACGCACAUUGCGCCCUUUGGUAUUCCUUAGGGCAUGCCUGUUCGAGCGUCAUUUAAACCUUCAAGCUCAGCUUGGUGUUGGGUGACUGUCCGCUUCACCGCGGACUCGCCUCAAAAUUAUUGGCGGCCGGUACAUUGGUUCUCGAGCGCAGCAGAAACGCGUAACUCGAGGUCCUCGUGCUGGCUCCCAGAAGCUAUCUUCACAAUUUUGACCUCGGAUCAGGUAGGGAUACCCGCUGAACUUAAGCAUAUCAAUAAGCGGAGGA